rnacentral:lncRNA from 1 species
UAUAUAUACAUAUCUGUUGUGUAUAUGCGUGAGUGUGGCCAUAUGUAUGUAUGUAUAUAUAUAUAUAUAUGCAAAUGUUUCACAUGGAAAUGUACAAGGAUAGGUUUGUAAUUACUUAGUGUUCGUGAGAAAUUUAACUUUGUUAUCAAAGGGAUAGGAGAAGGCCAAUCAAGCCUCAUCAUUGAAAACAUCAUUGACUACAGUAUCUCUUAGUUGUAUGUAGACAUUUGCAAGUUUAGACAGACAUGCGCAUACACAGAUAACAUGGCUGUGUUUAGAGGUGUAACACAAAACUGUUUCUUACAAUCUUGCAUUUAAUUAAGAAAAUACUAACAGGGUACUUGCACCGAUUCAAAAAGUUUAACAAAAUAAUCAUUAAGCAACUGGCACAAACGGAAUACCAUAUAUAACAACUAUACCGAACACGGAAUUAUUUUCUUGAAUUCUAGGAACAUUGAUUCCUGAAAAGACAAAAAUUAUUUUAUAGAGAAUAAUUUUCUUAAUUAUACACUGAAACAAAACCUAAGUAUGCAUAUGUAUAUAUAUAUAUAUAUAUAAAUAUAUACAUAUAAAUAUAUAUAUAUAUAUAUAUAUAUAUAUAUAUACAUACAUAUAUAUAUAUAUAUAUAUCUAUUUGGUGGGUGUUAGCGUGUGUAUGUAUAUAUGUAUAAAACAACCAGGAGUACAAAAGUUAUACUGUAUUUUUCUAGAUAUCCAGAAAUAUUUCAGGUAAGAAAGAAUCCAUCUAUACUGAAAUAAGCUUUAAAAAUGACAUACGGUCAUUACUUGCGUGAUAAACUUCAAUCAUGUUCUUCAGCUAUGUAUUUAUGUUUAUGAGUGUGAAGGUGGGUUUCUUACCAAAUGUCAACAAGACUGAAAUGAGGUUUUCAAUCAAGAUUUAAUGUUAAAAAGAAAUAGAUUUAUCCUUAAUUUUCAUUUUGAAUGAUUUUUCUCUUGUAAAGGAGAAAGUUAUUGAGAAAUUAGAAUCUUAUCAAAUGAGCUUCAAUAGUAUCGACAAACUUUGUUGAAAGGAAACGUCCAGAGUGGCUUGCCUGAAACGCAGAUUAACAUAAGUAAAAUACGCAAACAACUAAUUUUUAUAAUUUAAAGAAUAUAAUUGUUGAUAAGAGAAAAUAGAAAAUAGUAUAAGCUUUGCAGAAUUUCAUUCUCCAACAUUUAUGCGCGUGCGCAUUCAAUCCAUGACCCAAAUUUUGUAGCUCCAUUGGCUAGUUUGUUUGUGACCAACAGUGAAACUUUACCAUCUUUAAUCUCAAGUCAUCUUCUCUAUACCAGAGAAAAAUAAUUUCACAGUACAGAAGAACAUGAAAAGUUUCCUGGACCAGUCAUGUAAAAGAGGUUUGAAAAAAAUUAAUAACAGAACAAAAGAAGAUUCCUCUAGGAAACCAUUUUACAACAUUUACAAUUCACAACAAUUCACAAGUCUCUAUUAGUCAAGAUGCCUCACGGAGAGCUGGACUAAGGUUCUGGCAAUAUUGUGACGAUGAAGAGAAACUGGAAAACAAAUGGAGUGAGGAGAAUGGGAGAAAGACAGCAACAAAAACAGAAAUGAAAGUUAAAUGUUAACGUCUGACAAGAAGAAACAUGUUACUGAUAACAGUGCUGGCUUUUGGCUACUUCCAAUGGAAAGGGUGGUGGGUAGCGGUAUGAAUUCCCUACUUAUUCCUGGGGACCAUCCUUCUAUGAACAUCCUACAUAUACUCAAGCCCAUAAUCAUCACACAUUUACACUUCCAGACAAAAGUAUUAUGUUGUUGCCAGUGGCUGGCAGAACUGGCAGGGCACCAGACACAUGUCUUUUUAAAUGAGAAAACAAAGGGUAGCCCCUUUGGCCAUCUUCAGAGAGACUGAUGGGGAAGAAAGGUUAAAGACCUGACCUAAAUGCUUGCAAAAGAGCAGACUCAACAAAAGGCACCUGAUGACCAGUUAGGGUUGUUAAAAGAGACAGGUUAAGCUGACCAUCAAGAAUAAAAAUAAUUCCUUCAUUCAAGUUC